rfam:Gossypium raimondii Chr02_contig_152, whole genome shotgun sequence.
AUACCAUGGUGUGGGCACUUCCUAAGAAGUGACUUGAAGCAUUCCCAAACUUCAUAUAAAUUCUCACCUUCAAAUUGCUUAAAAUUAGCAAUAUCACGCCUCAAUGA